GCUAGUACAUAUUAUGCUUAAUAGUACAUAUAUGUACUAGUACAUAUUAUGCUUAAUAGUACAUAUAUGCA
rnacentral:tRNA from 1 species